UUUUGAUUGAAACAUCUAGGCGUAAAAGUAACUAGUUAUUCGACCAUAAUAACUUGAUUAAGGUAUGGAUACCAGUAGAACUAAAACGAUCAAAGAGUUCGAGGCGGAAACCAUGGCCAACCUAGAAAAACGGAUUCCCGAUGAUAUGAAGAAAAUAUUACGAAAUCAAAAUGAAACAAAGAAUCUGAUUAAUGAGGUUACAAAAACCAUUGAAGAAACUUUCAAAAUAGUUAGGAACAUAAGGGAAAAAAAGAUAGUGUCAAUGGAGGCCUUAUCUCAUCUUUCAAUAUCUAGACAAGACAUGUUUUUAACGUCCUUAAGUGUUAAAGUUUUCGAAACGAAUAUCAAUAUCGAUAAAACGGCUGUGGAAUUCGUACGCGAUGGAAAACCCUUCUUAGAACGCAUUGCAUUGUCUUCCCGGAAGCUAAUUGUCCGUGCAACGAAUUGGCAGAUUGCAGACAUCGUUUUUGAAGCAAUGUUGAUGUUCUUGCAAGCGGUUGGAAUUCCUAUUCCUGCUGAUCACGAAAGUAUGAGGGCGAGCAUUGAAGUUUUAAAAACUUUUGUUGAAACCAGCCAAGUCAUAGUAGAGAUGGUUCAUAACCUUGUCGUGUAUAACGAAAAUGGCGAUCGUGAGGCAUUGUUCAGAGAAAUAUGCAACAUAGUGUAUCAUCUUUUUACUGAAGGAGUCUUGAUAGAUGUUCUGAAGGCUCUCUAUAGUGGACUACAUUGGUUUGACUGGGUUAUGUUAAUAGCCAGGGUAACUGCGUUUAUCAUCACAUUAGCUGGAAGCGGCGGCUUGGCUUUGCUAGCUUCACUUCUUACUGUAAUUGUCAACACUGUGAAAUUUACAGCAAAAUUAGUAAAUAUGAACACAUUUACGUCACUUACUAAUUAGGCAAACAAGAGGGAUGUGCAUUAUCAAAACAAAAAUACAAAUUAUAAUUAGUUGUCCUAAGUAGAUUGUUAUUUUUUGUUCCUUCACACAUGUUAUAUACUACCAUUCACCAAUAAAUAAUUCGAAAAACGUG